GAUGAACGUAGCUACAGGUUAACACAUGCAAGUCGAGGGGAAACGGCAUUGAGUGCUUGCACUCUUUGGACUCGACCGGCGCACGGUGAGUAACGCGUACAACCUUCCCAUUACUUGGGAUAACCUCCCGAAAGCAGAUAAUCCGCAUAGUCUUCGAUGACGGCAUCAGAUUGAAGUAAAGAUUAUCGUAAUGGAUGGGGAUGCGUCUGAUUAGCUUGUUGCGGGGUAACGGCCCCAAGGCGACGAUCAGUAGGGGUUCUGAGAGAAAGGUCCCCACAUUGGAACUGAGACACGGUCCAAACUCCUACGGGAGGCAGCAGUGAGGAAUAUUGGUCAAUGUGCGCGAGCCUGAACCAGCCAAGUAGCGUGCAGGUGACGGCCCUAUGGGUUGUAAACUGCUAUUGUAUGGGGAUAAAGUCAAUCACGUGUGAUGUUUGCAGGUACCUACCGAAUAAGACCGCUAUCAC
rnacentral:rRNA from 1 species